GACGAACGCUGGCGGCGUGCUUAACACAUGCAAGUCGAACGGAAAGGCCCUGCUUUUGUUGGGUGCUCGAGUGGCGAACGGGUGAGUAACACGUGAGUAACCUGCCCUUGACUUUGGGAUAACUUCAGGAAACUGGGGCUAAUACCGGAUAGGAUCUCCUGCUGCAUGGUGGGGGUUGGAAAGUUUCGGCUUUUGUGGAUGGACUCGCGGCUUAUCAGCUUGUUUGUGGGGUAGUGGCUUACCAAGGCUUUGACGGGUAGCCGGCCUGAGAGGGUUACCGGCCACAUUGGGCCUGAGGUACGGACCAGACUCCAACGGGAGGCAGCAGUGGGGAAUAUUGCACAAUGGGCGGAAGCCUGAUGCAGCAACGCCGCGUGCGGGAUGACGGCCUUCGGGUUGUAAACAGAUUUCGACUGUGACGAAGCGUGAGUGACGGUAAUGGGUAAAGAAGCAACGGCUAACUACGUG
rnacentral:rRNA from 1 species